CACGUAGGGUGCGAGCGUUGUCCGGAAUUAUUGGGCGUAAAGAGCUCGUAGGCGGUGUGUCGCGUCGGCCGUGAAAACCUGCAGCUUAACUGUGGGCUUGCGGUCGAUACGGGCAGACUUGAGUUCGGUAGGGGAGACUGGAAUUCCUGGUGUAGCGGUGAAAUGCGCAGAUAUCAGGAGGAACACCGGUGGCGAAGGCGGGUCUCUGGGCCGAUACUGACGCUGAGGAGCGAAAGCGUGGGGAGCGAACAGG
rnacentral:rRNA from 1 species